ACAAAAUGACUUUGAUUUUCAGUACACUGUGGUUGACAAUGUCUUGCUUGGUUGUAGCAAAGCCGAACCUGUAACUGGUUCCGCAUUAUUUUCUUGCCACAAGUUCGACAAUGAAAAAAAGACUUGGACUUUGACGGAUUCCUGGAAGGUUGGCGGAUCCGGCUUCCUUGACUUCUUGCCUAUUCCCAAUCGAGGAUUGGUGAUUUUGACCGCGUCUAAGUUUGUCUUCAUGUACAAGGGAAUGAAAAUCAAGCCAGUUUCGCAAAGAUUUCCAUUUAGACCAACUUCUUCUUUCAAUUUUUGUCGGACUGUCAUCUCAGACGAUGAAAUCCUGGUUGGGCUCUUCCGCCAUUCACCCGUUCCUCAGCUCUGCUCAAUCAACAUCAAAACCAGGAAUGUUGAUCAUAUCAAGUUACCAAAUUUGCCGAUAAGGUCAUCCAUUUGUGGGGCUUUUGGACCAGAGGGGAAACGUAAAGUGGCCAUAUUUGGUGGACAGUAUUUGGAGACUGGACCACCCUUUGUUCGGACCCUCAUUUUGGAUUGGAAUUCAAAGAAACUUGAUGCCGAUGGUCCAAGUCUAAAUCACAUGCGGCCUGGUCUUUCUGGACAGACCAUUGUUUACAGGGAUACAUUUCUUUAUUUUAUAUCGAGUGAUCAAGGUAGCUCUAUUUAUAAGUUUGAUAUCAAUGGCACCGAGACUCCAAUGGCAUUUCUUGGAAAAUUUUUCCCUGAAUGCAAGCAAUCAGCAAAUAUUCCAGCUGAUGUGGCCGGAUGUAAAUGAUGAUUACAAAUGACUAUAGUGCUCUGAUACAUGAAAUGACAAUUAAUUGUAUACUUGGACAUUUUGAAACUGCAUAAACCGCAAUUCUGCAA